CUGCAGCCAAUUAAGCCGACUAUACUCUUUCCCCAUGGGGCCCAGUGUGUAAUGGCUGCAAACAGCAGCCUCCUCGGUAGUGUAUGCAGCCUGUUGAUUGUACGGGUUGCCCUAAGGGACAUUGGAGAUAGUU
ensembl:snoRNA SNORA70 Small nucleolar RNA SNORA70